AGAGUUUGAUCCUGGCUCAGAUUGAACGCUGGCGGCAGGCUUAACACAUGCAAGUCGAGCGGAGAUGAGGUGCUUGCACCUUAUCUUAGCGGCGGACGGGUGAGUAAUGCUUAGGAAUCUGCCUAUUAGUGGGGGACAACAUUUCGAAAGGAAUGCUAAUACCGCAUACGUCCUACGGGAGAAAGCAGGGGAUCUUCGGACCUUGCGCUAAUAGAUGAGCCUAAGUCGGAUUAGCUAGUUGGUGGGGUAAAGGCCUACCAAGGCGACGAUCUGUAGCGGGUCUGAGAGGAUGAUCCGCCACACUGGGACUGAGACACGGCCCAGACUCCUACGGGAGGCAGCAGUGGGGAAUAUUGGACAAUGGGGGGAACCCUGAUCCAGCCAUGCCGCGUGUGUGAAGAAGGCCUUAUGGUUGUAAAGCACUUUAAGCGAGGAGGAGGCUACUGAGACUAAUACUCUUGGAUAGUGGACGUACUCGCAGAAUAAGCACCGGCUAACUCUGUGCCAGCAGCCGCGGUAAUACAGAGGGUGCGAGCGUUAAUCGGAUUUACUGGGCGUAAAGCGUGCGUAGGCGGCUUUUUAAGUCGGAUGUGAAAUCCCCGAGCUUAACUUGGGAAUUGCAUUCGAUACUGGGAAGCUAGAGUAUGGGAGAGGAUGGUAGAAUUCCAGGUGUAGCGGUGAAAUGCGUAGAGAUCUGGAGGAAUACCGAUGGCGAAGGCAGCCAUCUGGCCUAAUACUGACGCUGAGGUACGAAAGCAUGGGGAGCAAACAGGAUUAGAUACCCUGGUAGUCCAUGCCGUAAACGAUGUCUACUAGCCGUUGGGGCCUUUGAGGCUUUAGUGGCGCAGCUAACGCGA
rnacentral:rRNA from 1 species